rnacentral:rRNA from 1 species
UACGGAGGGUGCAAGCGUUAAUCGGAAUUACUGGGCGUAAAGCGCACGCAGGUGGCUGAGUCAGUCGAUUGUGAAAGCCCUGGGCUUAACCUGGGAAUUGCAGUCGAUACUACUCCGGCUCGAGUAUGGGAGAGGGCAGUGGAAUUCCCGGUGUAGCGGUGAAAUGCGUAGAUAUCGGGAGGAACAUCAGUGGCGAAGGCGGCAUCCUGGACCGACAUUGACGCUGAGGAGCGAAAGCUAGGGGAGCAAACGGGG